rnacentral:rRNA from 1 species
GAUGAACGCUGGCGGCGUGCUUAACACAUGCAAGUCGAACGGAAAGGCCCAAGCUUGCUUGGGUACUCGAGUGGCGAACGGGUGAGUAACACGUGGGUGAUCUGCCCUGCACUUCGGGAUAAGCCUGGGAAACUGGGUCUAAUACCGGAUAGGACCACUUCUUGGAUGUUGUGGUGGAAAGUUUUUUCGGUGUGGGAUGAGCUCGCGGCCUAUCAGCUUGUUGGUGGGGUAAUGGCCUACCAAGGCGUCGACGGGUAGCCGGCCUGAGAGGGUGUACGGCCACAUUGGGACUGAGAUACGGCCCAGACUCCUACGGGAGGCAGCAGUGGGGAAUAUUGCACAAUGGGCGCAAGCCUGAUGCAGCGACGCCGCGUGGGGGAUGACGGCCUUCGGGUUGUAAACUCCUUUCGCUAGGGACGAAGCGUUUUGUGACGGUACCUGGAGUAGAAGCACCGGCUAACUACGUG